rnacentral:rRNA from 1 species
AUUGAACGCUGGCGGCAUGCCUUACACAUGCAAGUCGAACGGCAGCACGGACUUCGGUCUGGUGGCGAGUGGCGAACGGGUGAGUAAUGUAUCGGAACGUACCAUUGAGUGGGGGAUAACGUAGCGAAAGUUACGCUAAUACCGCAUAUUCUCUCCGGAGGAAAGCAGGGGACCGCAAGGCCUUGCGCUCUUUGAGCGGCCGAUAUCAGAUUAGCUAGUUGGUGGGGUAAAAGCUCACCAAGGCGACGAUCUGUAGCGGGUCUGAGAGGAUGAUCCGCCACACUGGAACGGAUGCACGGUCCAGACUCCUACGGGAGUCAGCAGUGGGGAAUUUUGGACAAUGGGGGCAACCCUGAUCCAGCCAUGCCGCGUGAGUGAAGAAGGCCUUCGGGUUGUAAAGCUCUUUCGGCCGGGAAAAAAUCGCAUGGAUUAAUACUCUGUGUGGAUGAUGGUACCGGUAUAAGAAGCACCGGCUAACUACGUGCCAGCCGCCGCAGUAAAAC